UCUACUCACUUCUCUCUCUAGGUUAACAAUUUUUCUCCUCCCUUUCUCUAGAAUUCGCCCCUCACCCACCCAAAAUCCUAACUUCAUCAAAUUCACAAUUCAUCAUGGAAUCAUCAUGGUACAUGCUUUAAUAGGUUCCUAGUAGAGUUUUAACCAAGAAACUAGUUUAAUAAUCACUUCUCCUCCCUCCAAUUGCUCAACCGCCCCUCUUUCUCUCAUUUUCCAAGUUCAUAAUCUUUCCUCCAAUUCCAUGGAAAUCAUCAAGUAAACUUGUUUUUGGAAUACCCAUGAUGGAUAGCUACUAGGUUGUGGGUGAUUAUGGUAAUGACUUGUUUUGAUGCUUGAGGAGCUUAGGAAUCAUCAUUCAAGGUUAAUUACGGAAGCCCUCAUGGUUGAGCGUGAAGUUGGUUGAGGUUUGAAAUGCAAAAGUGAGACGAGCCUAUGUUAUUUUAAAGGAUUAAAGAUAUUCAGAGGUUACUAGACGACAUAAAGGUUCGUGAUGAAGAAGCAGUUGCCGGACUAUAUAAAAUUCACGUCAGUGGUAUUAUUUCAAAGGUAUAAGACGAGAAUUUUAUAUUUUAUUCUGCGGGAAUUUUUAUUAUUGUAAUUUUAAUGUAUCCAAUACCAAGUUUAACACACACGCUAGAUAUCCUAGGUAAUGUCUAGUAAGGGUGUUACAAGGGAGAUAUGAUUCACCGAUUUUAGAUGCAAAGGGUUUCCUACAAUGGUGUCCAUUUUUGUAAUCCUAACUAGACCGAAAACAAGACCAAGAAAGUUGAAAAUGAAGUGAAAAAAAAAUCAAGAGGAAAAGAAAGAGUGUAGAAUAGAGAGGUAAAGAAUCAAGAAUAAAUAGUAGAGAAGAUUGCCAAGUCCAGUAACAUCUACAAGCGAAACAGGUGUGAUCCUCUAUAAAUAGAUUUUUGUUGAGGAUUGAGGAUAUGUUAUGUUAAGUUAUAGGUGGAUGUUUCUCAAGGUUUUUGUUGGAUACGUAAGAUCCUAUCAUUUAGGUUCUGGUUAAAUAUUUGCUCAAAAAAGGUUCUGGUUAAAUAUAACAACUUUUAAGCUGUGAUAUAUUUUGUUGGAUACUUGGAGAAAAUGUGGAUAAGUGUCCGUCUUUCAGUUAGCAUUUUCCUUUUUUUAACAUCAAUAUUAAUGAUGUGGCAUAAUCAUCAUAGUUAUAAAGAUACAUUUUCGUAAAAAAAUAAAAUAAAAAACUCAAACUCAAUGGCGCACAUCAUUAAUUAACGAUACAUCACAUCAACAAAAAUAAUAAUUAAAAUUGAGCAGGGUGAAAAAUAUUGAUUGUUGUUAAAUAAGAGAUCUAUAGUUUAUGAUUCAACUCAACCUAAUGGCAGGAAUAUUGUUGAAUCAUCUAUUACGGCCCAAAUAUGGAAGGUAACCAUACUUUGUCUGUUAUUCUAGUCGAUCGUUGGGAACAUCCUCCAUGGUGGCUUUGUUAAAAUAAACAUGAAUGGUAGUUGUUUGAAUAACACAUCAAUUAUUGACUCUGGGUUGUCUCAUAAGAUGUUCCAAGGGUUGACGAUGUUUGUGACAUUUUGCUAGUGGAAAUUCUGGGUAUUCUAGUGUAUGAUACUGACUCCAUGGAUGAAGUGAAAUUGAUCAUGGAUAUAGACACCACAUAUUCCAUAGUUAUGUAUUGUGUUGGAUCAAAUUGGGAGAAGUUGUUUGAUUGUGAUUGAAUUUUCUCAUGUUUUUGCAAGGCAAACAACUGCAAUAACUUAUUUACUAGAUUAUGAAUUAUUUAUACUAAAUGCAUUUAACCUUUCAUAUUAAAUGCAAUUAACCAUUUAUAAAUCAAAUCAAACAUUAUACUAAUAUUGGCAAUGUAGGUCGGUCUAGACGGAAUCUAACUCUUCAAAACUUUGUUUUUUUUUUUAAUUUAUUUAUUAAAUAUUGUUAUUAAAUAUUUUAUUUUGAGUCAGAGUGCUAAUUUUUCAAAAUUGUUCUUAAAUGUUAAGUUACACACUCUUAUGCUGCGGAAUUGUUGUUGGGAAAUGGGAGAAAGUCCAAUGAUCAUCACAUUGAAUUAGAGCAACCACACAAAUGAAUUUAAUACAACAUCUUCACAAGAAUUCUUAAAGCAUUAAACAUACAGAUUGAUAAAUAACCAAAUUGUAUAGGAAUAAAAAGGUAAGUAAAACUAGCCAUUAGACUAAUUGACAAAAAAAAAAAAGGUAAGUAAA